UCUCCCGGCAGAGGGAGAUUAAGUCCUUCACUCCCGGGAGCUGUCUGGGAAGCACAUCCCAGUGUGCACCGGAGCAGCUAUGCAUACGUCGUUUUACCCAUGAGAAAACUGAGGUUCCGAAGGGACAGAGCCAGGAUGUGAGCCUAGAUCUAUUAACACCUGUGAAUCCUGUGCUCUUUUCCACCAUUCUUGCUGCCAAUUCCUCACAUUUUCAUGCCUCCCGACUUCUUACGGUGCCCGCCAUGUUCCCAGCUGCUGCCUGAACUUAUCAAAGUGGACCCAAUGAAAGCUGUGUUGAGGAGGAUUAUUCUGGUGCUGAGGCUGGGUACAUUGGUGAGGCCAGGAACCUGGGACUGAAUUCCAAGCAGAGAACCAGAAGAGCUGUACAGAAAUCCAGGCAAGGGCCAAGAAGAACUUUGGAGAUGCCCAGAGCAUUUGAAACUGAACUUCACUUGGUGAUCUGGGCCUCCAGUCUGCCAUUUGCCCUGCUGUCUUCCAGUCUGUGGAAGUGAUGGGAGGGAAGCAUGUCAGCAGUAAAUUACUCUAUGCUACACCUCCUUUGCUGUGUGUCUCCUAUUUAAAUUAUUUUAAGCCAAGAAGACAAGAACCAAGGUAUCACAUCAGCAAUCAACAGGAGCUGCUGAUCUCUAGGCUUGCUCAGAAUUGUGAAGUUCUUGGCUGAUCUCAUUAGCGGUCAUUUAGCUUUGGUGUAUAGGACAAGUAGGAGAUUAUUAAUCUGGUAAAUUAAAAUAACACUUUGGGCUGAGUGU